GAAAACCGGAAGUAGUUUGUUAACGAAUCGGGCUCGGAUCAAAAGUUGAUCGAACAUCUAGUUUGCUUUUCGCAACAAGGUUCUACCGACGGGCAUGCGUUCUUUAGAGGGAGCUGUCUCCAUCAGGGGUUAUCGGCCGUGCUGUGGGGGCACUUUGUGUCAACAUUCUGGUGGGCGUGGUCUGAUGACCUCCCGGCUGUAAAGAACUUCCAUCCAUCCAUUUUCUACCGCUUAUUCCCUUCGGGGUCGCGGGGGCACUGGAGCCUAUCUCAGCUACAAUCGGGCGGAAGGCGGGGUACACCCUGGACAAGUCGCCACCUCAUCGCAGGGCUGUAAAGAACUUAGUGUUGCAUUUCUUUUAUGUAUGAAAAGCGCUUUGUAAAUAAAGUUUGAUUGAUUGAUACCCUUGUUUGCAGGU